rnacentral:rRNA from 1 species
GACGAACGCUGGCGGCGUGCUUAACACAUGCAAGUCGAACGGAAAGGCCCUGCUUUUGUGGGGUGCUCGAGUGGCGAACGGGUGAGUAACACGUGAGUAACCUGCCCUUGACUUUGGGAUAACUUCAGGAAACUGGGGCUAAUACCGGAUAGGAGCUCCUGCUGCAUGGUGGGGGUUGGAAAGUUUCGGCGGUUGGGGAUGGACUCGCGGCUUAUCAGCUUGUUGGUGAGGUAGUGGCUUACCAAGGCUUUGACGGGUAGCCGGCCUGAGAGGGUGACCGGCCUCAUUGGGACUGAGAUACGGCCCAGACUCCUACGGGAGGCAGCAGUGGGGAAUAUGGCACAAUGGGCGGAAGCCUGAUGCAGCAACGCCGCGUGCGGGAUGACGUCCUUCGGGUUGUAAACCGCUUUCUCCUGUGACGAAGCGUGAGUGACGGUAAUGGGUAAAGAAGCACCGGCUAACUACGUG